GGCCUCCCUCUGUGGGGCAAUCAAUCGUGGGGCUCCCUCUUUGGGGUGAUCAAUUGCGGGGCUCUGUGAUUGAUAGCCCUGCAGAGGGAGGCC
rfam:Myotis lucifugus cont2.31758, whole genome shotgun sequence.